rnacentral:tRNA from 1 species
UAGAAUUAAAUAACUACUUAUAUUCAGUUUCGACCUGAAAUUUAGGAUUAAUUAUAUCCAUUUCUUU